rnacentral:rRNA from 1 species
UACACGCUGUGACUAAGCAUAUCAAUAAGCGGAGGAAAAGAAACUAACAAGGAUUCCCCUAGUAACGGCGAGUGAAGCGGGAAGAGCUCAAAUUUGAAAUCUUAAAGGGUUUCCCUUUACGAAUUGUAGUUUAAAGAAGUGUUUUCUGCUGAGGUUUUGGUAAAAGUUCUUUGGAAUAGGACAUCAUAGAGGGUGAGAAUCCCGUAUUUGACCUUUACUUUCAACUUUGUGAUACACUUUCAAAGAGUCGGAUUGUUUGGGAAUGCAGUCCAAAAUGGGUGGUAAAUUUCAUCUAAAGCUAAAUAUUGGCGAGAGACCGAUAGCGAACAAGUACCGUGAGGGAAAGAUGAAAAGAACUUUGAAAAGAGAGUUAAACAGUACGUGAAAUUGUCAAAAGGGAAGCGUUUGACACCAGUGUUGUUUUUCUGAAAAUCAAUUAAAGAACUGUUUAUGCUAAGCUGUUUAGACUUUAUCAGCUAAUCUGUUUAGUUUUGAGCUUCUCUUUAAUGCACUUUUCAGUUAACAAGUCAACAUCAAUUUCUUUUGCUGUAAAAAAGCUUGAGGAAGGUGGCUUGAGAUUCGUCUUAAGUGUUUAUAGCCUCUUGCCUAUGCAGUCGGAGAGAUUGAGGUCUGCAGCGUAGAUCCUUCGGGGCUAAAUGCAUUUGUGCUAAGUUAUAGCAUUUUAUAGACAACUUGUUGACUAUGAUUUGUCUUGUAGCUUACUCGCUUAUGUUAUUUUACCUACGCUUAGGAUGUUGAGUCGUAGAGCACGCAG